UAAAUGUUGUUAUGGUAACUCUCUGUGGUAUAUAGAAAAACCUACAAUAGCUAAAGCCAGUUUGGCAUCAGAAUGACAAAAAACGAUUUUCAUCAUAGUUAAUGCUUAGUAACAUAUUUGAGAGAAAUAAGUUUAUUGAGGCAACACAAACGAAGACAAAAGAAGACAAACGGAGAGUAAUACAAAACAUGGUCUCCUAUUUAGAGAGCUCUCCUUCAAGAAAGUUUUUCCCUUUAUUAAAUAUCUAAACGUAAAUAGAACAGAUGAAGUUUUGCAACAGCAUGAUUAAAAUUUGUGAGGUGCAACAGAAAUGGUUUUAGAACUGCCUUAAUCUCGAAGAAAACUGUGCUACGAUGAACAGUUUGAUAUGCAAAAUGUAAAUAAAUCCUGACGCCCGGCGCAACAGAAGAUAAAUGAUGACGUGUGAGCGGGUUUGCAGCGGUCAAAUGAACCGCGGAGAUGACAGAGCCACCGACUGAAUGCCUUGCAGUCAACAUUUUAUGUUGUGUCUUGUGAUUUUAUUGAGAUCCUCCUCCUCCUAACAUGAGUAUCAGUGACGUAAUCAGAUCAAAAGUAAGUGGCCUUGUGCAUUAGCAAGAAAUCAAUAAAUAUUCUACAGGAGGAAAACGUUGGAGUUAUGCAAACA